ACUGAACGCUGGCGGCAUGCCUUACACAUGCAAGUCGAACGGUAACGCGGGGCAACCUGGCGACGAGUGGCGAACGGGUGAGUAAUAUAUCGGAACGUGCCCAGUAGUGGGGGAUAGCCCGGCGAAAGCCGGAUUAAUACCGCAUGAGACCUGAGGGUGAAAGCGGGGGAUCGCAAGACCUCGCGCUAUUGGAGCGGCCGAUAACAGAUUAGCUAGUUGGUGGGGUAAAGGCCUACAAAGGCAACGAUCUGUAGUUGGUCUGAGAGGACGACCAGCGACACUGGGACUGAGACACGGCCCAGACUCCUACGGGAGGCAGCAGUGGGGAAUUUUGGACAAUGGGCGCAAGCCUGAUCCAGCAAUGCCGCGUGCAGGAAGAAGGCCUUCGGGUUGUAAACUGCUUUUGUCAGGGAAGAAAUCUUCUGGGUUAAUACCUCGGGAGGAUGACGGUACCUGAAGAAUAAGCACCGGCUAACUACGUGCCAGCCGCCGCAGUAAAAC
rnacentral:rRNA from 1 species